rnacentral:lncRNA from 1 species
GUCCCCAGGCCGGUCCUGCCGCCCGAGCGCCGUCACGCGGGGCGCCCGCGGGGCCGGGCUGGGCACUGCAGGGUCAGUUUAUCUAGUUUCAAGGAAACACUGACCUUAAGGUUUGCCCAGAGGCAAUGAGGACGAGCCAGAGGCUCGAGCUGACUUAGGGAACUUUCUCCUUGCCACCAGGAAAGGGGAAUGAACAUUUAAGACUAAUCUGGGCCACGCAGUGUUAGCAUGAAAAACAAGUUGCAGGUUUUAAGACUUUAUCCAGAAUCCAUUUCAAGUCUACCUCUCCCCU